UCAAAUUCAGCUGCAUAAUGCACCGGAGGAGGUGGCGGCGGAGGAGGAAGGUCUGUUCUGAUGGGCUGGGAAACGGCCACUGGAGUUGGCUGGCUCGUAGCUGGAGUUUUCCAACGGCCAGGUCCACUUUUAGUUAAGCAAGAACCAGGUGAAACAGGUUUGGAUGUAUGGUUCAGGUGCUCUUGGCUAGAUGUGCUAGAAUCCACAGAUGAAUUCAUCCACUGAUCGCUGUCUGACUUCCGAUCAAUGUAUUCUAUGUCCUUCCGGAUAACAACUUCCAAACGAUUCCUCUCUGGCUGGAAAACUUUAUCUCGGAGUUCUUCCUGGGAUCGAGCCACGCGCUGCAUUGUAGUAUUGAUUGAGUGAUUACUUUCUGCCUGGAUCUGUGGCUUCUCUUCAUAAUUUGGCCACUGACUCUGAG
rnacentral:lncRNA from 1 species